rnacentral:rRNA from 1 species
GAUGAACGCUGGCGGCGUGCCUAAUACAUGCAAGUCGAGCGAACAGACGAGGAGCUUGCUCCUCUGACGUUAGCGGCGGACGGGUGAGUAACACGUGGAUAACCUACCUAUAAGACUGGGAUAACUUCGGGAAACCGGAGCUAAUACCGGAUAAUAUAUUGAACCGCAUGGUUCAAUAGUGAAAGACGGUUUUGCUGUCACUUAUAGAUGGAUCCGCACCGCAUUAGCUAGUUGGUAAGGUAACGGCUUACCAAGGCAACGAUGCGUAGCCGACCUGAGAGGGUGAUCGGCCACACUGGAACUGAGACACGGUCCAGACUCCUACGGGAGGCAGCAGUAGGGAAUCUUCCGCAAUGGGCGAAAGCUUGACGGAGCAACGCCGCGUGAGUGAUGAAGGUCUUCGGAUCGUAAAACUCUGUUAUUAGGGAAGAACAAAUGUGUAAGUAACUAUGCACGUCUUGACGGUACCUAAUCAGAAAGCCACGGCUAACUACGU